AGUUGAAAGUCGGUAGCUUGUCGGUGUGCAAAGAUGGGAGGGGACACGACUGUUUUUUCAAUGGAAAUGCAUACGGUGUACAUUUUUCCUCAUUUAGUCUUGUCCUCCACUGUUUGCACUAGUUUAGACAACUCACUAGUAGAGCUUGAUAAAAUCAAGGUGUUCUUCGAUGUUCGAGGUUUCAUGGAUAGGAUUUCGGUUUGAAAACAGAAUAGCAUGAUCACUCUCAUACCUUUUAUUUUAUAGUUUUGGGGUGUACAGGUUGCGUUGGAGGGUGACUCAAUGGAACAAUCCUAUUUUAAGAGAUUUUUCAAACACUCCUACAUAAUAUGGCAUCGACCCAACAGGAACAGCGAGAACCGGCGGACCGGAGAAAUUACUCGAUUUUUACUCUUGGUACAUGUUUUCUUUAUUAGAUAUCUUUCAAUUGAUUUAUUAAUGAACCAGUUACACACUACAAACCAUUUUUGUUAUAAGCAGCAUGCAAUUUAUAAGCACCCUAGAGUGCUUAGAAUGCAUACAUAGUAUGCAGCAUGUACUAACAUGUCAAUUUAUCUGAUUUUGGAAUUAUAAAAUGAGAGAAAUAUUCUG